rnacentral:rRNA from 1 species
CCUACGGGUGGCAGCAGUGGGGGAUAUUGCACAAUGGGGGAAACCCUGAUGCAGCGACGCCGCGUGGAGGAAGAAGGUCUUCGGAUUGUAAACUCCUGUCCGAGGGGACGAUAAUGACGGUACCCUUGGAGGAAGCACCGGCUAACUACGUGCCAGCAGCCGCGGUAAAACGUAGGGUGCAAGCGUUGUCCGGAAUUACUGGGUGUAAAGGGAGCGCAGGCGGACUGUCAAGUUGGGAGUGAAAACUACGGGCUCAACCCGUAACUUGCUUUCAAAACUGGCGGUCUUGAGUGGUGUAGAGGUAGGCGGAAUUCCCGGUGUAGCGGUGGAAUGCGUAGAUAUCGGGAGGAACACCAGUGGCGAAGGCGGCCUACUGGGCACUAACUGACGCUGAGGCUCGAAAGCAUGGGUAGCAAACAGGAUUAGAUACCCGAGUAGUC